UUUCAUAAUAUCAAUCAUAGUCCUGGGAGGUAAGGGUUACAUUAAACUAACAUGUAUCAUGUUACAUUAAACUCUAACAUGUAUCAUGUUACAUUAACCUAACAUAUAUCAUGGUUAAAUUAAACUAACAUGUAUCAUGGUAAUAAACUCUGACAUGUAUCAUAAUUACCUUCAACUAACAUGUAUCAGGGUUCUGCUGAAUCACAUUGACUGCUCUCCUGACAUGUUACUGUAUUGUUUAUCUCAAAAUAGAAUUCAUUGAUCAACUUCUGGAGGUAAGUUUUAUUACUGGUUUGAUACAAAACACAAUACUAUGUGUGACCCUGGCUGGCAGUGGUGGAGUUAUUAGAUGAUGACCUUGUAAUGAACCCAAUGUUGAUAUUUUAUUCACAUUUUUAUUUGAUUGAAGAAGGUAAAAAAGGAACGGAAGAGGGAGUCAGCGGGUGGAGCUGCUGGAGAAGGGACAGCUCGUUACACAUCCACAUCUCACCUCUCUACGGAGCUUCCUGCAGGUCUAGAGACAUCCAUCCCUCCAGCUCCCUCCAGUGAAACACAGCC